rnacentral:rRNA from 1 species
UACGGGGGGGGCAAGCGUUGUUCGGAAUUACUGGGCGUAAAGGGCUCGUAGGCGGCCAACUAAGUCAGACGUGAAAUCCCUCGGCUUAACCGGGGAACUGCCUCUGAUACUGGAUGGCUUGAGAUUGGGAGAGGGAUGCGGAAUUCCAGGUGUAGCGGUGAAAUGCGUAGAUAUCUGGAGGAACACCGGUGGCGAAGGCGGCUCUCUGGGACGGUACUGACGCUGAGACGCGAAAGCGUGGGGAGCGAACAGG